GAGCAAAUUUGUUCUUGAAGUUACAAUUUGUGAUUCACUUUGACAAAAAUAGAGUGAAUCAUCGAAUGUAACUUCAAGUAUGAAAUUGCUGCUUCGAAUUUCGAGGACCAAUUUGAAGAAUGAGACAGAUACAAAAAACAAACAAAAUGUCUUAAUCUCUUUCUUGUUUGUGUCUCUACUGCCUCAAUGUCUCUUUAUUUCUUGUCCCUAGCCACUUACCAAACAAAGCCUUAUCUUUGCAACUUUAUGCAACUAAUUAAAGUGAAAAAUACAAUUAACCUGGAAUUAUUUCAGAUUCUAACGAAGGAAACUCUCAUAGCACUAGUGCUAUUAUUGGUAUAGCAGUAAGCUCAUCAGUUCUGUUUCUGAGCCUUCUAGCUUUAGCAGUAUAUGCGAUUCUACAAAAGAAGCACGCGGAGCGAGGAGCCAUAGGUUUAAGCAGACCUUUUGCAUCUUGGGCACCAAUGGAAAGGAUAGUGGAGGUGCACCACAAUUAAAGGGUGCAAGAUGGUUCUCAUAUGAUGAACUGAAAAAGAGCACUAGUAAUUUCUUUUAAAAAAAUAAGUUAGUAUUUGGUGGUUAUGGCAAGGUGUACAAAGGGGUGCUUCCUGAUGGAAAAAUUGUCGCGAUCAAGCGAGCUCAGCAAGGAUCAAUGCAAGGAGGCCUAGAAUUCAAGACUGAAAUUGAGUUGCUUUCAAAAGUUCUUCACAAUGUAUUAUU